rnacentral:rRNA from 1 species
CUGCGAUAAGCGCCGGUAAGGUGAUAUGAACCGUUAUAACCGGCGAUACCCGAAUGGGGAAACCCAGUGUGACUCGUCACACUAUCAUUAACUGAAUCCAUAGGUUAAUGAGGCGAACCGGGGGAACUGAAACAUCUAAGUACCCCGAGGAAAAGAAAUCAACCGAGAUUCCCCCAGUAGCGGCGAGCGAACGGGGAGGAGCCCAGAGCCUGAAUCAGCAUGUGUGUUAGUGGAAGCGUCUGGAAAGGCGCGCGAUACAGGGUGACAGCCCCGUACACAAAAGCGCAUGUGCUGUGAGCUCGAUGAGUAGGGCGGGACACGUGGUAUCCUGUCUGAAUAUGGGGGGACCAUCCUCCAAGGCUAAAUACUCCUGACUGACCGAUAGUGAACCAGUACCGUGAGGGAAAGGCGAAAAGAACCCCGGCGAGGGGAGUGAAAAAGAACCUGAAACCGUGUACGUACAAGCAGUGGGAGCACCCUUUGGGUGUGACUGCGUACCUUUUGU